UACGUAGGGGGCAAGCGUUGUCCGGAUUUAUUGGGCGUAAAGAGCGUGUAGGCGGCCUGAAAGGUCAGCUGUGAAAACUCGAGGCUCAACCUCGAGACGUCGGUUGAAACCAUCUGGCUAGAGUCCGGAAGAGGAGUGUGGAAUUCCCGGUGUGAGCGGUGAAAUGCGCAGAUAUCGGGAGGAACACCAGUAGCGAAGGCGGCUCGCUGGGCCAUUCCUGACGCUGAGACGCGAAAGCUAGGGGAGCGAACGAGGA
rnacentral:rRNA from 1 species